CAGGGAUUGCCCUAGUAACGGCGAGUGAAGCGGCAAAAGCUCAAAUUUGAAAUCUGGCCCCUUUGGGGGUCCGAGUUGUAAUUUGUAGAGGGUGCUUUGGUGUUGGCUGUGGUCUAAGUUCCUUGGAACAGGACGUCGCAGAGGGUGAGAAUCCCGUAUGUGGCCGCCAGCCUUCACCAUGUAAAGCCUCUUCGACGAGUCGAGUUGUUUGGGAAUGCAGCUCUAAAUGGGAGGUAAAUUUCUUCUAAAGCUAAAUAUCUGCCAGAGACCGAUAGCGCACAAGUAGAGUGAUCGAAAGAUGAAAAGCACUUUGGAAAGAGAGUCAAAAAGCACGUGAAAUUGUUGAAAGGGAAGCGCUUGCAGUUAGACAUGCUUCUAGUUGCUCAGCUGGGCUGUUGCCCGGUGCACUCUUCUAUUGGCAGGCCAGCAUCAGUCUGGGCGGUUGGAUAAAUGCCUAUUAAACGUGACUCCCCUCGGGGAGAGCUUAUAGGGUAGGCAGCAUGCAACCAGCCUGGACUGAGGUCCGCGCAUCUGCUAGGAUGCUGGCGUAAUAGCUGUAAGCGGCCCGUCUUGAAACACGGACCAAGGAGUCUAACAUCUAUGCGAGUGUUUGGGUGUCAAGCCCGAGCGCGCAAUGAAAGUAAACGGAGGUGGGAACCUUAUGGGUGCACCAUCGACCGAUCCUGAUGUCUUCGGAUGGAUUUGAGUAAGAGCAUGGCUGUUAGGACCCGAAAGAUGGUGAACUAUGCCUGAAUAGGGUGAAGCCAGAGGAAACUCUGGUGGAGGCUCGCAGCGGUUCUGACGUGCAAAUCGAUCGUCAAAUUUGGGCAUAGGGGCGAAAGACUA
rnacentral:rRNA from 1 species